GUCUUGCUCAUUCUUGAAGGAGAAGGUGUGUUUAGCUGCCAACUUUGGUGGCUCCAUAGCAUGUGCUGAAGGCUUUGGGGCCCUUCCUGUGUUCCUCACGUCCUGAGGCAGUGAAGGACUUCCCUUGCUCUGUAGGAAUGGUUCCUGUGCAAGGGCAUGGUCGUCUGCCUGUAGCAGAUACUGAAGGUUGUGCUUUUGUGACUGCAGUGAUGGAGUUGGCUUUAUGAAUGGCAAUUGCACUCUGCUCACGUGCAGCUCUUUCUGACACAGGCAGGAGUCGGGCAGCGGUACUGCAGCUCCUCUGGCAGCUUUGCAGCUCAUUUGGGAAGCAGAAGAUGUGAAUGUGAAAGAAGUCCGUUGCUGGGACGUUCCCCUGUUCUUCCCCCAGCUGUCCCCUUGCCUCAGCCUGGAUUCCCCUUGCGUUCCUGUAGGAUUCCCUUCCAUCCCCCUGGCUGCCCCUUGCUUUCCCCAAGGUUGCCCUUUCCUUUCUCAUGUCAGCCCACCCAUCAUUCCCUCAGAGCCCCAAUAUCCCUCCCAGUGUUUCC
ensembl:lncRNA